rnacentral:rRNA from 1 species
UGUGGCCUGUGGGGUUGGUAAAUCCGCCCCACAUAAAGGGUGAGGCGUGAUGCGGACACCAUGUUGUGGUGGUAGUUAGUGUGCCUGUGCUGUCUAGAAAAGCCUCUAGCGAGUGCGUGCAUGGCCCGUACCGGAAACCGACACAGGUGGUCAGGUAGAGAAUACUAAGGCGAUCGAGAGAAUCAUGGUUAAGGAACUCGGCAAAAUGCCCCCGUAACUUCGGGAGAAGGGGGACCACUACUGGUUGCUGACAGCAUUUUUAGCUGGUGGUGGUCGCAGAGGAGAGAGGGAAGCGAC